GGAGGGUAUGUGUAUAUACGCACGUGGAGGUCAGGAGCCCUGGGAUAGAUCACUGGGAGGCUUAGCUACAGGGAUGAGAUCUGCACACCCAAAGAGCCUAGCAUAAAUGCACAACAACCAACUGUGAGAAUGAAACAGCCAGCCCCAUGCACCAAAGGAAGGAAGGAGCAGAACAUUUCCUGUCAAUCCAACGACAACAAAAUUGACAAGGUACAAAAGAGAAUCCCAAG